GAGUUUGAUCGUGGCUCAGGAUGAACGCUGGCGGCGUGCCUAAUACAUGCAAGUCGAGCGAACGGACGAGAAGCUUGCUUCUCUGAUGUUAGCGGCGGACGGGUGAGUAACACGUGGAUAACCUACUAUAAGACUGGGAUAACUUCGGGAAACCGGAGCUAAUACCGGAUAAUAUUUUGAACCGCAUGGUUCAAAAGUGAAAGACGGUCUUGCUGUCACUUAUAGAUGGAUCCGCGCUGCAUUAGCUAGUUGGUAAGGUAACGGCUUACCAAGGCAACGAUGCAUAGCCGACCUGAGAGGGUGAUCGGCCACACUGGAACUGAGACACGGUCCAGACUCCUACGGGAGGCAGCAGUAGGGAAGUCUUCCGCAAUGGGCGAAAGACCUGACGGAGCAACGCCGCGUGAGUGAUGAAGGUCUUCGGAUCGUAAAACUCUGUUAUUAGGGAAGACAUAUGUGUAAGUAACUGUGCACAUCUUGACGGUACCUAAUCAGAAAGACCACGGCUAACUACGU
rnacentral:rRNA from 1 species